CUUGGACUUCAACUUCUCUAACCCUAAUAAGCUCUCUCUGAGCGGCUCGACGACGAUGGGUUCACUAAACAGAGUCUUGGAGUGUCCGGACAACUUUUGGGAGAUGGUUGAUUUCAGGCAAUGGUGGAACCUGUAGUGGAACACACUUGAAUGAAUUGGAGGUCAUGAUGCUGAAGCGUUCGUGAUUUGGAAUGAUCCUACACUGAUUAAGAUAUGGAAUAUAGCGUUCGUUCAGAUUUUUCAUUUUCUGGAAAUCAAGAAUUCGGCUUCUGCAUUUAAAGCCGGGAAAGAAGCUAAAGUUUCGGCAAAGUCGCCCCACCCUUUUGCCAACUGAGCUACACAUCAGAUGCAAGAAAGAAGCUAAAAUUUGGGCAAAGUCGCCCCAUUCUUUGCCAACUGAGCUACACAGCGGAUGCAAGAAAGAAGCUAAAAUGGAGAACUAGGUUUCGAUUCUAUCGAUUCCAUGGCGCAUUCCGUUCAAGAAGUGGAACUGCAAACCACAAGUAUGUUUUGAACUCCGAAGUCUUGUUUCACUUCUUAUUG